GAUGAACGCUGGCGGCGUGCCUAAUACAUGCAAGUCGAGCGAACAGAUGAGGAGCUUGCUCCUCUGACGUUAGCGGCGGACGGGUGAGUAACACGUGGAUAACCUCCCUAUAAGACUGGGAUAACUUCGGGAAACCGGAGCUAAUACCGGAUAAUAUAUUGAACCGCAUGGUUCAAUAGUGAAAGACGGUUUUGCUGUCACUUAUAGAUGGAUCCGCGCCGCAUUAGCUAGUUGGUAAGGUAACGGCUUACCAAGGCAACGAUGCGUAGCCGACCUGAGAGGGUGAUCGGCCAAACUGGAAGUGAGACACGGACCAGACUCCUACGGGAGGCAGCAGUAGGGUGUCUUCGGCAAUGGGCGAAAGCUUGACGGAACAACGCCGCGUGAGUGGUGAAGGUCUUCGGAUCGUAAAACUCUGUUAUUAGGGAAGAACAAAUGUGUAAGUAACUAUGCACGUCUUGACGGUACCUAAUCAGAAAGCCACGGCUAACUACGUG
rnacentral:rRNA from 1 species